rnacentral:lncRNA from 10 species
CGCUAAAGAUGUGAUGGCUGGAGCUGUGGCAGCCAGUUAGGACCAUGUGGAAGAAGGCACUGCUGGCAAUGACAGAGCAACAAAGUAUGUGAAGCCCGGGAUUCUGAUGAUCAUGGAGGUUCAACCAAGGGGAGAAAGCAGAAGGAAGGGGCUUCCUAGCUUUGCCCCUUUUUGUAUCCUGCUGAAAGCUGUGGCAGGGGUUGAGUGUGAGGAGGCAUGGGGACAUGAAUGAGUUUCCCCUCUGCAGCAUUUGCCUUGAGUGGAGGAUGGGGUAAACUUCCCAGUGUAGCCCAGAAAAAAAUCUAGCUCACAGUGGCUGAAGACUGUUGACUUAACAGCUAUACAGGCACCUGCAGACACAGGUUGUAUGACGGGAGCGCAUCUGUUGAAUGCUGUUGCAGUUAUGUCACAGGCAAAAUAGGACUUACUGGGCUAGUCUGUGCCCUGGUCACUGUGAGUGCAUCAUUUUAGAACAUCAUUAUUUUGGAAAAAAGGAAGGACCACAUUCUAAAUUCCAAACAGCUGACUCAUGAGCGGACUUUUGGAAGCCACCAACCCUUUGUCAUUGAGAGCUGCCUGAUCGCAGGGUCACACAGAGGUGUAUAAAGGCCGGACUUCAGGCAGUCAUGUGAGCAUGCUCACAGAGGCCGAGUCGUGUGGCAAGCCUCGUGGAGAAGUCUGCAGGCUUCUUGCUCCUAAGAAGGAAGCUCAGUGUUAAAUCUGAAGCUAAACUGAAGAAACUAUGUGGUCUCUUACGACUGGUUGCCACAACAGAUGUUGCCAGGUGUCCUUGGAUAGUGACCUCCCAUAUGAAGCCACUUUCCUCUGAUCAGGCCUGACAGCUUCACACUGUGGAGGGAGCUGAGAACAAUAAUCUUUCAAGGAACAGAAAACCAGACGCCACAUGUUCUCACUUAUAAGUGGGAGCUAAACAAUGAGAACACAUGGACACAGGGGGGGGAACAACACACACUAGGGCCUGUUGGGGGUGUGGGGUCAGGGGAGGGAGAGCAUUGGGAAAACUAGCUAACACAUACUGAGAUUAAUACCUAGGUGAUGGGUUGAUUGGUGCAGCAAACCACCAUGGCACAUGUUUACCUAUGUAACAAACCUUCACAUCCUGCACAUGUACCCCAGAACCUAAAAGUAAAAUUAAAAUAAAAAAAAUCUUGAGCAUUC